GGCUUGUGGGCAGAGCAUUGGAAAGGAUCGUACUGGUAACCAGAGGAGAGCUCAAAUAGGCCCCAGGAGAGAUCACUAGAUUAGUCAAACAUGCAUGGAUGACAUCUAAAACCUCUUCAGGCAUGUUUUUGAUGAGGGAACAACAUCAUAACACGGUAGAACGCUUCAAAAGUCGAUUUUGCAUAAUGCCCCCUCUUUAAAAUAUAUGGGUUUAUUUCCAUUUUAUUGGGUCAUUUUAUCAUUAUUAUUUGUUCUGCCAUCUUGCCAACCUGUGUAACUUUUACUGUAACCUAUUUAAAUUUUUCACACAUCUAUUUUCAACCAUUUCUUCAACUUCACAACCUAAAACAUAAAAAACAUACCUGUGAUACCCAUCAGUUGAGAAUUCACGCUCUAUAAUUGUCUGUUUUAAGUAACUGAUUGCUAAAACAAAUAUAUUUUGUUGGGACAAGUAUCGACAAGCAAACUACAUCCAGUCUAAUUGAAAAACAAACAUGGUGUUAGCUUAAAUGCACAAAAUAUAUGCCAUAGAGAGACUUGAAACUAAAUAUACAAUAAGCCAGACCAGUUGAUUCCUCCUUUCCCUUAUUAUUGUAAAUUCGAUCUUUAACAGCAGUGAAUAUUUACAUUUUUGCAGUGAAUCGAACUAAAACAGUUGCAAAGGAACAACCUCCGAAGUUAAAACUAAUCUACGCCACUUUCUUUAUAGUGAAAAUGUGUUGUGCCGCUCUUGUAACCAUGGUAACUAUCUACAACUGUCUGAAAAUUCCAGUUAAUCAGUGAGAUUUUUAUUUUUGUUUCUUUAAAAAGUCAAGAUGUAAAAUUUUUGAGCAGCAGCACAUGAUGGAUUGGGUUCACACUGAGAGGAGUACGAACUAUAGCUACGAAAUAUAUGCACAAAAUCUGGCAUUGAUUAGUGUGGUACAUAGAGCUAUAGGCAGAAAGGAAGAGUUUGAGAAUGAAUGAGUGACUUAGCUGAAGAUUUGGUAUUUAUAUGUAAACAG
ensembl:lncRNA